CAGCCACCGCAGCCGAGGAAGUUGACUGACGCCGCUUCCUUCCACCCACCUUCAGACCCUCGCGCCCCCCUUUAGCUGCAGCUCCCCGGGGGGCUUUGAGGCGGCAAGGGAUGCGGUAUGCACUCUGUGUUCUUCCCAAAAAACAUUUCCUAAGUCCCUCGGGAGGGAGAGCAACAAACUUAUCUGCCAUUUCAGGAGCUGAUCCCAACCCUGACCUUCUUUUCUCCCUCCUCCCUGGGGUGAACGUUCAUGGGAGCCCAAGAAAUCACGCGGUGCACCCCAGGAAGGCCCUGAAGACACAGUCUCAAACCCCCGUGCAAGACUCAUACUUCUGCUGUGAUUGCAUCACACAGGUCACUCGGCUGCGCCAAGCAGACCCGUGUAACCUCCAUCCAAUGUGUUCCCUACACUGAAGAUCAUAGAAUCACCCCAUGGAUCAUUCCUGAUAAAGACUGAAGAUGUUCUACGUCACUGAGUCUCAGGCAAACCAAACUGGCGUUGUUUUCAACAAAACUUCUAUUGUGUGCUCAAAGAAAGUGUGAGGGCAUCCUACAUCAACCUUCGUGCAUUUAUGCGAGCUAGGCUACUGGAGAAAGCAAGCCUGGAAUCUAGUUUCACCUGCUGCACGUAAAGAUUGAAACUGAAAUGAAAACAAAUGCUGUGGGUUGGCCAGGCAGUGGUGGCGCACACCUUUGAUGCCAGCACUCAGGAGGCACAG